rnacentral:rRNA from 1 species
UACGUAGGGGGCUAGCGUUGUCCGGAAUCAUUGGGCGUAGAGAGCGUGUAGGCGGUCCGGUAAGUCCGCUGUGAAAGUCGGGGGCUCAACCCUCGAAUGCCGGUGGAUACUGUCGGGCUAGAGUGCGGAAGAGGCGAGUGGAAUUCCUGGUGUAGCGGUGAAAUGCGCAGAUAUCAGGAGGAACACCAAUGGCGAAGGCAGCACUCUGGGACGUGACUGACGCUGAGACGCGAAAGCGUGGGGAGCAAACAGG